rnacentral:rRNA from 1 species
AUUUAUUAGAGCAAAACCAAUCGGGCUUCGGCCCGUUCUUUGGUGAAUCUGAAUGACUCUGCAGAUCGCACGGUCUCGCACCGGCGACGCAUCUUUCAAAUGUCUGCCUUAUCAACUUUCGAUGGUAGUUUAUACGCCUACCAUGGUUGUAGCGGGUAACGGAGAAUAAGGGUUCGACUCCGGAGAGGGAGCCUGAGAAACGGCUACCACAUCCAAGGAAGGCAGCAGGCACGCAAAUUACCCACUCCCGGCACGGGGAGGUAGUGACGAAAAAUAACGAGGCGGUUCUCUACGAGGCCCGCCAUCGGAAUGGGUACAAUUUAAAUCCUUUAACGAGGAUCUAUUGGAGGGCAAGCCUGGUGCCAGCAGCCGCGGUAAUUCCAGCUCCAAUAGCGUAUAUUAAAGUUGUUGCGGUUAAAAAGCUCGUAGUUGGAUCUGCGGUCAAGGGAAUCGGUCCUCCGACGGAUGGUACUGGUUUUCCUGACCUAACUACUUCGGUUUUCCCUUGAUGCUCUUAACCGGGUGUCUUGGGCGACCGAAACGUUUACUUUGAAAAAAUUAGAGUGCUCAAAGCAGGCGUUCAGCCUGAAUAGUGGUGCAUGGAAUAAUAAAAGAGGAUCUCGGUUCUAUUUUGUUGGUAUUGGAUUGAGAUAAUGAUCGAUGGGGAUAGACGGGGGCAUUCGUAUUGCGACGUUAGAGGUGAAAUUCUUGGAUCGUCGCCAGACGAACAACUGCGAAGGCAUUUGCCAAGAAUAUGCUCUUCAAUCAAGAACGAAAGCGAGAGGCGCGAACGCGAUCAGAUACCGCGGUAGUUCUCGCCGUAAACGAUGCCAACUAGCGAUCCGCCGGAGUUAAAUGAUGACUCGGCGGGCAGCUUCCGGGAAACCAAAGUUUUUGGGUUCCGGGGGAAGUAUGGUUGCAAAGCUGAAACUUAAAGGAAUUGACGGAAGGGCACCACCAGGAGUGGAGCCUGCGGCUUAAUUUGACCCAACACGGGGAAACUCACCCGGCCCGGACACCGUAAGGAUUGACAGAUUGAGAGCUCUUUCUUGAUUCGGUGGGUGGUGGUGCAUGGCCGUUCUUAGUUGGUGGAGCGAUUUGUCUGGUUAAUUCCGAUAACGAACGAGACUCUAGCCUGCUAAAUAGACAGUGAAUCAUUUGUUCACUGUACUUCUUAGAGGGACAAGCGGCAUCUAGCUGCACGAGAUUGAGCAAUAACAGGUCUGUGAUGCCCUUAGAUGUUCGGGGCUGCACGCGCGCUACACUGAAGGAAUCAACAUGCAUUCUACCUUACCCGAAAGGGUUUGGUAACCCGUUGAAACUCCUUCGUGAUUGGGA